rnacentral:pre_miRNA from 1 species
AUAGUACUCUCUCCGUCCGAAAAUACUUGUCCUCGAAAUGGUUGUAUCUAGACUUAUUUUAGUUAUAGAUACAUCCAUUUUAUCUAUUUCUAGGACAAGUAUUUCCGGACGGAGGGAGUACGAU